UGGGGAAUAUUGCACAAUGGGCGCAAGCCUGAUGCAGCCAUGCCGCGUGUGUGAAGAAGGCCUUCGGGUUGUAAAGCACUUUCAGCGGGGAGGAAGGCGUUAAGGUUAAUAACCUUGGCGAUUGACGUUACCCGCAGAAGAAGCACCGGCUAACUCCGUGUCAGCAGCCGCGGUAAUACGGAGGGUGCAAGCGUUAAUCGGAAUUACUGGGCGUAAAGCGCACGCAGGCGGUCUGUCAAGUCGGAUGUGAAAUCCCCGGGCUCAACCUGGGAACUGCAUUCGAAACUGGCAGGCUAGAGUCUUGUAGAGGGGGGUAGAAUUCCAGGUGUAGCGGUGAAAUGCGUAGAGAUCUGGAGGAAUACCGGUGGCGAAGGCGGCCCCCUGGACAAAGACUGACGCUCAGGUGCGAAAGCGUGGGGAGCAAACAGG
rnacentral:rRNA from 1 species